rnacentral:tRNA from 1 species
GUUGCAGUGGACAAGAGGUCUAAGUCACCUCCCCUUCAAGGAGGAGAUCGUGGGUUCAAAUCCCACCUGCAAUA